CGUAGUGAACCUGCGGAAGGAUCAUUACCACACCUAAAAAACUUUCCACGUGAACCGUUUCAACCCAAUAGUUGGGGGUCUUAUUUGGCGGCGGCUGCUGGCUUAAUUGUUGGCGGCUGCUGCUGAGUGAGCCCUAUCAAAAAAAAGGCGAACGUUUGGGCUUCGGCCUGAUUUAGUAGUCUUUUUUUCUUUUAAACCCAUUCCUUAAUACUGAAUAUACUGUGGGGACGAAAGUCUCUGCUUUUAACUAGAUAGCAACUUUCAGCAGUGGAUGUCUAGGCUCGCACAUCGAUGAAGAACGCUGCGAACUGCGAUACGUAAUGCGAAUUGCAGGAUUCAGUGAGUCAUCGAAAUUUUGAACGCAUAUUGCACUUCCGGGUUAGUCCUGGAAGUAUGCCUGUAUCAGUGUCCGUACAUUAAACUUGACUUUCUUCCUUCCGUGUAGUCGGUGGAGGAGAUGUCAGAUGUGAAGUGUCUUGCGAUUGGUCUUCGGACCGGCUGCGAGUCCUUUUAAAUGUACUAAACUGAACUUCUCUUUGCUCGAAAAGUGGUGGCGUUGCUGGUUGUGAAGGCUGCUAUUGUGGCAAAUUGGCGACUGGUUUGUCUGCUGCGGCGUUAAUGGAAGAGUGUUCGAUUCGUGGUAUGGUUGGCUUCGGCUGAACAAUGCACUUAUUGGACGUUUUUCCUGCUGUGGCGUGAUGGACUGGUGAACCAUAGCUCGGUGGCUUGGCUUUUGAAUUGGCUUUGCUGUUGCGAAGUAGGGUGGCAGCUUCGGUUGUCGAGGGUCGAUCCAUUUGGGAACUUAAUGUGUACUUCGGUAUGCAUCUCAAUUGGACCUGAUAUCAGGCAAGAUACC
rnacentral:rRNA from 1 species